ACUUUACCAUGCGGGCAACCGUGAUAAGGAAACCCCGAGUGCCAGCACAGGCUGGCUGUCCGCCAGUGUAAAUAACUGGUGAAGAAAGGGCCGGGCAAGACCGGUGCCAGCCGCCGCGGUAAUACCGGCGGCUCGAGUGGUGGCCACUAUUACUGGGCUUAAAGGGUCCGUAGCUUGAUAACUGGGUCCCUUGAGAAAUCCGCCAGCUCAACUGGCGGGCGUUCAGGGGAAACUUGUUUUCUAGGGACCGGGAGAGGUGAGGGGUACUGCCGGGGUAGGAGUGAAAUCCUGUAAUCCCGGUGGGACCACCUAUGGCGAAGGCAUCUCACCAGAACGGGUCCGACAGUGAGGGACGAAAGCUGGGGGAGCAAACCGG
rnacentral:rRNA from 1 species